UUACGGCCAUAUCACGUUGAAACAACGCUUCUCGUACGGUCAUCGAAGUUAAGCAACGUCUAUACUGGUCAGUACCUUGAUGGGUGACCGCUUGGGAAUACCACCUGCUGUAA